rnacentral:rRNA from 1 species
CCUACGGGAUGCAGCAGUGGGGAAUAUUGCACAAUGGAGGAAACCCUGAUGCAGCAACGCCGCGUGCGUGAUGAAGUCUUUCUGUGUGUAAAGCUCUAUCAGCAGGGAAGAGAAUUACGUUACCUGACUAAUAUUCCCCGGCUCACUACGUUCCAACCGCCGCGGUACUACGGAGGGGGCAAGCGUUAUCCGGAUUUACUGGGUGUAAAGGGAGCGUAGUCGGCUGUACAAGUCUGAAGUGAAAGCCCGUGGCUCAACCGUGGAACUGCUUUGGAAACUGUAAAGCUGGAGUACGGGAGAGGCAGGCGGAAUUCGUGGUGUAGCGGUGAAAUGCGUAGAUAUUAGGAGGAACACCAGUGGCGAAGGCGGCCUGCUGGAGAGAAACUGACGUUGAGGCUCGAAAGCGUGGGGAGCAAACAGGAUUAGAUACCCUUGUAGUC